GUGUCCGUUGUAAUAUUCUCACAGGCAGUUCAAACUUGCAGGGAAGCUACAAUUUUUCCAUAAACAACAUUUUUAAAGAGGAAUGAUCUGAAAUUUGGGAGGAUAUCUAGGUAAGAAGAAGCAAAUUGGGAAAGCUGGUGGUACUUUAGAAAGUCCAAAGAUGUUCUGGACCUAGCAGCCUCCCUACUUCAUAGUAUGAAUAAUGGUCAACAGGCAUAGACAUCUACCUGCAUCAGUUCUUGGAUUGGACUCCCCUUAGUCAGCACAUGAGUUCUUCUUGGAUCAUGGACACUUCAUGGUUGCAGCAGUACUCCUCUGAAGAAAAAGCUAAUGACUCUACUUUCUAAUCCCCCAAAUUAAGCAGAAUUACUUUAUAAUGAGGCACAUAAAUUCACUAGAGAUGUAAUUGAAAAAUCUUUGGUAUUUUGAAAUAAAUGCUACAGAUGCCUAUCUAAA